rnacentral:rRNA from 1 species
GUAUCAGACUCCUACGGGAGGCGGCAGUGGGGAAUAUUGGACAAUGGGGGGAACCCUGAUCCAGCGACGCCGCGUGAGUGAAGAAGUAUUUCGGUAUGUAAAGCUCUAUCAGCAGGGAAGAAAGAAAUGACGGUACCUGACUAAGAAGCCCCGGCUAACUACGUGCCAGCAGCCGCGGUAAUACGUAGGGGGCAAGCGUUAUCCGGAUUUACUGGGGGGAAAGGGAGCGUAGACGGCAGUGCAAGUCUGGAGUGAAAGGCGGGGGCUCAACCCCCGGACUGCUCUGGAAACUGUACGGCUGGAGUGCAGGAGAGGUAAGUGGAAUUCCUAGUGUAGCGGUGAAAUGCGUAGAUAUUAGGAGGAACACCAGUGGCGAAGGCGGCUUACUGGACGGUAACUGACGUUGAGGCUCGAAAGCGUGGGGAGCAAACAGGAUUAGAUACCCCGGUAUAA